GAUGAACGCUGGCGGCGUGCCUAAUACAUGCAAGUCGAGCGAACAGACGAGGAGCUUGCUCCUCUGACGUUAGCGGCGGACGGGUGAGUAACACGUGGAUAACCUACCUAUAAGACUGGGAUAACUUCGGGAAACCGGAGCUAAUACCGGAUAAUAUAUUGAGCCGCAUGGUUCAAUAGUGAAAGACGGUUUUGCUGUCACUUAUAGAUGGAUCCGCGCCGCAUUAGCUAGUUGGUAAGGUAACGGCUUACCAAGGCAACGAUGCGUAGCCGACCUGAGAGGGUGAUCGGCCACACUGGAACUGAGACACGGUCCAGACUCCUACGGGAGGCAGCAGUAGGGAAUCUUCCACAAUGGGCGAAAGCCUGACGGAGCAACGCCGCGUGAGUGAUGAAGGUCUUCGGAUCGUAAAACUCUGUUAUUAGGGAAGAACAAAUGUGUAAGUAACUAUGCACGUCUUGACGGUACCUAAUCAGAAAGCCACGGCUAACUACGUG
rnacentral:rRNA from 1 species